rnacentral:rRNA from 1 species
GCACCACAAGGGGUGAAGCCUGCGGUUUAAUUGGAGUCAACGCCGGGAAUCUUACCGGGAGCGACAGUAGAAUGAAGGCCAAGCUGACGACUUUGCUAGACAGACUGAGAGGAGGUGCAUGGCCGUCGCCAGUUCGUGCCGUGAGGUGUCCGGUUAAGUCCGGCAACGAACGAGACCCCCAUCCUUUGUUGCUAAGCUUUCUCUACGGAGGGAGCCGCACACGGAGGAGACUGCCAGUGUUAAACUGGAGGAGGGAGGGGGCUACGGCAGGUCAGCAUGCCCCGAAUCUCCCGGGCCACACGCGGGCUGCAAUGGCGAGGACAGCGGGUUCCAACCUCGAAAGGGGACGGUAAUCCCUUAAACCUCGCCGUAGUUGGGAUUGAGGGCUGUAACCCGCCCUCAUGAACAUGGAAUCCCUAGUAACCGCACGUCACCAUCGCGCGGUGAAUACGUCCCUGCUCCUUGCACACACCGCCCGUCGCUCCACCCGAGUCAAGUACGGGCGAGGUAUAGAUUCGUUGUCUGUAUCGAACCCAUGUUUGGCAAGGGGGGA